rnacentral:rRNA from 1 species
CUAUGGUGGCGACCGGCGCACGGGUGCGUAACGCGUAUGCAACCUACCUUUAACAGGGGCAUAACACUGAGAAAUUGGUACUAAUUCCCCAUAACAUUCGAGAAGGCAUCUUCUUGGGUUAAAAACUCCGGUGGUUAAAGAUGGGCAUGCGUUGUAUUAGCUAGUUGGUGAGGUAACGGCUCACCAAGGCAACGAUACAUAGGGGGACUGAGAGGUUAACCCCCCACAUUGGUACUGAGACACGGUCCAA